rnacentral:rRNA from 1 species
UGCGGAAGGAUCAUUACCGAGUGAGGGCCCUCUGGGUCCAACCUCCCACCCGUGUUUAUCGUACCUUGUUGCUUCGGCGGGCCCGCCUCACGGCCGCCGGGGGGCAUCCGCCCCCGGGCCCGCGCCCGCCGAAGACACACAAACGAACUCUUGUCUGAAGAUUGCAGUCUGAGUACUUGACUAAAUCAGUUAAAACUUUCAACAACGGAUCUCUUGGUUCCGGCAUCGAUGAAGAACGCAGCGAAAUGCGAUAAGUAAUGUGAAUUGCAGAAUUCAGUGAAUCAUCGAGUCUUUGAACGCACAUUGCGCCCCCUGGUAUUCCGGGGGGCAUGCCUGUCCGAGCGUCAUUGCUGCCCUCAAGCACGGCUUGUGUGUUGGGCUCUCGCCCCCCGCUUCCGGGGGGCGGGCCCGAAAGGCAGCGGCGGCACCGCGUCCGGUCCUCGAGCGUAUGGGGCUUCGUCACCCGCUCUGUAGGCCCGGCCGGCGCCCGCCGGCGAACACCAUCAAUCUUAACCAGGUUGACCUCGGAUCAGGUAGGGAUACCCGCUGAACUUAAGCAUAUCAAU